UACGGAGGGUGCAAACGUUGCUCGGAAUCAUUGGGCGUAAAGCGCACGUAGGCGGUCUUUUAAGUCGGAUGUGAAAGCCCCAGGCUCAACCUGGGAAGUGCAUCGGAAACUGAAAGGCUAGAGUACGGAAGAGGGUCUCGGAAUUCCCGGUGUAGAGGUGAAAUUCGUAGAUAUCGGGAGGAACACCAGUGGCGAAGGCGGAGACCUGGGCCGAUACUGACGCUGAGGUGCGAAAGCGUGGGGAGCGAACAGG
rnacentral:rRNA from 1 species